GAAAACCAGUCGGGCAGCCACCUUCCAAGCCACCCCAACGCCACCUCAGGCCACCCCGACCCUCCGGACCGGACCCAGCAGCACCGGCCAGCUCCCGCCAUCAACCCCAGCCCGUCCGCCGCCCCUGCUGCUGUCUGGAGCCGCCGGAAAAUGCUGGAAAAAGCAGCAGUUUUGGCAGAUUUUCCAACCUCAGUUUCUCCCUCAUCCGGCCACCAAAUCAGUCGUGUGAGGCACCAAGAGUCCAACUAACCCACAAGAGGGACCGUCGAAGGGUCCAGCUAGCUCGGACCAGCUGCCAUAGAAGAACAAAGGAAACCACUCGGGCCAUCAUCUCAGCCUCCGCCCCACCACCAAAGUGUAGGAUCUCGUUGUAAUUUCCCGGUAGUUCUGUAAAUUUGUAUAGAAAUGCUCUGAUAUCCUGUUGAACAUGAGAAACUGGAGUUGAGAUCUGUUGAUUGUGUUAAUCUGGCGGUUGGUGUGUUAUUUAAGAUUGUUUGACAGGUGGAAGAUUUUGGGUAUGGUCA